rnacentral:lncRNA from 1 species
ACUGGGGCAAAAAGGAGCCUAACAAUUCUUUCUCUGUUCUCCCUGCCCCACAUCUACAAGUCAGAGGGAGAUAGAAGUGAUUAUAAAACCAGCUGACCAGGAAGGGACAGGCGACUUGCAGACUCAGGUGAACUUCUCAGCAUUGCAAUACCCCUGCUAGUGGUCCUGCUGCCCACACAUUAUGAGGGCCUGUCCCACGUAUAGACUGCCUUUCGAAAGCAGGCAGCAGACUAGAAGCUGUACAGGAACGUGCAGGUGGAUUUUUUAUUUGCCACUAACGAUACCUGCGAGGACUGAACUACUUCUACUAGGAACCAAACUCAGUACUUAG